rnacentral:rRNA from 1 species
AACGCUAGCGGCAGGCUUAACACAUGCAAGUCGAGGGGUAUGCUUCUGCGGAAGCAGAGACCGGCGCACGGGUGCGUAACGUGUAUGCAAUCUACCUUUUACAGAUGGAUAGCCCAGAGAAAUUUUGAUUAAUACCUCAUAGUAUAGCUGAAUCGCAUGAUUCUACUAUUAAAGUCACAACGGUAAAAGAUGAGCAUGCGUCCCAUUAGCUAGUUUGUAAGGUAACGGCUUACCAAGGCUACGAUGGGUAGGGGUCCUGAGAGGGAGAUCCCCCACACUUGUACUGAGACACGGACCAGACUCCUACGGGAGGCAGCAGUGAGGAAUAUUGGACAAUGGGCGCAAGCCUGAUCCAGCCAUGCCGCGUGCAGGAUGACGGUCCUAUGGAUUGUAAACUGCUUUUAUACGAGAAGAAACACUGCUUCGUGAAGCAGCUUGACGGUAUCGUAAGAAUAAGGAUCGGCUAACUCCGUGCCAGCAGCCGCGGUAAUACGGAGGAUCCAAGCGUUAUCCGGAAUCAUUGGGUUUAAAGGGUCCGUAGGCGGUUUAAUAAGUCAGUUGUGAAAGCCCAUCGCUCAACGGUGGAACGGCAAUUGAUACUGUUAAACUUGAAUUAUUAGGAAGUAACUAGAAUAUGUAGUGUAGCGGUGAAAUGCUUAGAGAUUACAUGGAAUACCAAUUGCGAAGGCAGGUUACUACUAAUGGAUUGACG